rnacentral:rRNA from 1 species
UUGAAGAGUUUGAUCAUGGCUCAGAUUGAACGCUGGCGGCAGGCCUAACACAUGCAAGUCGAACGGUAACAGGAAACAGCUUGCUGUUUNCGCUGACGAGUGGCGGACGGGUGAGUAAUGUCUGGGAAACUGCCUGAUGGAGGGGGAUAACUACUGGAAACGGUAGCUAAUACCGCAUAACGUCGCAAGACCAAAGAGGGGGACCUUAGGGCCUCUUGCCAUCGGAUGUGCCCAGAUGGGAUUAGCUAGUAGGUGGGGUAAAGGCUCACCUAGGCGACGAUCCCUAGCUGGUCUGAGAGGAUGACCAGCCACACUGGAACUGAGACACGGUCCAGACUCCUACGGGAGGCAGCAGUGGGGAAUAUUGCACAAUGGGCGCAAGCCUGAUGCAGCCAUGCCGCGUGUAUGAAGAAGGCCUUCGGGUUGUAAAGUACUUUCAGCGGGGAGGAAGGGAGUAAAGUUAAUACCUUUGCUCAUUGACGUUACCCGCAGAAGAAGCACCGGCUAACUCCGUGCCAGCAGCCGCGGUAAUACGGAGGGUGCAAGCGUUAAUCGGAAUUACUGGGCGUAAAGCGCACGCAGGCGGUUUGUUAAGUCAGAUGUGAAAUCCCCGGGCUCAACCUGGGAACUGCAUCUGAUACUGGCAAGCUUGAGUCUCGUAGAGGGGGGUAGAAUUCCAGGUGUAGCGGUGAAAUGCGUAGAGAUCUGGAGGAAUACCGGUGGCGAAGGCGGCCCCCUGGACGAAGACUGACGCUCAGGUGCGAAAGCGUGGGGAGCAAACAGGAUUAGAUACCCUGGUAGUCCACGCCGUAAACGAUGUCGACUUGGAGGUUGUGCCCUUGAGGCGUGGCUUCCGGAGCUAACGCGUUAAGUCGACCGCCUGGGGAGUACGGCCGCAAGGUUAAAACUCAAAUGAAUUGACGGGGGCCCGCACAAGCGGUGGAGCAUGUGGUUUAAUUCGAUGCAACGCGAAGAACCUUACCUGGUCUUGACAUCCACGGAAGUUUUCAGAGAUGAGAAUGUGCCUUCGGGAACCGUGAGACAGGUGCUGCAUGGCUGUCGUCAGCUCGUGUUGUGAAAUGUUGGGUUAAGUCCCGCAACGAGCGCAACCCUUAUCCUUUGUUGCCAGCGGUCCGGCCGGGAACUCAAAGGAGACUGCCAGUGAUAAACUGGAGGAAGGUGGGGAUGACGUCAAGUCAUCAUGGCCCUUACGACCAGGGCUACACACGUGCUACAAUGGCGCAUACAAAGAGAAGCGACCUCGCGAGAGCAAGCGGACCUCAUAAAGUGCGUCGUAGUCCGGAUUGGAGUCUGCAACUCGACUCCAUGAAGUCGGAAUCGCUAGUAAUCGUGGAUCAGAAUGCCACGGUGAAUACGUUCCCGGGCCUUGUACACACCGCCCGUCACACCAUGGGAGUGGGUUGCAAAAGAAGUAGGUAGCUUAACCUUCGGGAGGGCGCUUACCACUUUGUGAUUCAUGACUGGGGUGAAGUCGUAACAAGGUAACCGUAGGGGAACCUGCGGUUGGAUCACCUCCUU